rnacentral:rRNA from 1 species
GUCCUUGCCUUAACUAUGUAUACUUGGUGUAGAAAGGCUCAACCCUUUUGUACCGUAGCUAACGCGAUAAGUAUACCGCCUGGGGAGUACGCUCGCAAGGGUAAACUCAAAGAAUUGACGGGACCCGCACAAGCAGUGGAGCAUGUGGUUUAAUUCGAUGCAACGCGAAGAACCUUACCUGGACUUGACAUGCUUUUGACCGCUGUAGAAUACAGUUUUCUCGCAAGAGACAGAAGCACAGGUGCUGCAUGGCUGUCGU